rnacentral:lncRNA from 1 species
CCAAGUGUGAUGUUGUGGCCACGAGGAACUGCUUAAAAAAGGCUGGGUUCAUUCCUUACAUCAGCCAGAGUGCACAUUAUAGAACUUGUUCCCCAUCUGGACAGAGGUCUUGAUUUCAAACGAAAGACUCUGGAGAAUGAAUUUCAAGUAUGGGACAAGGAAAAAUUGGCAGUAGUUUCUUUUUUAAUGGAAAUGCUUCCAGAUGCUCAAAUACUAGAGGUGACCAGGAUGUGUAUGCUGUUAUUGCCCUUCUGCAUUCUUGAAUGGACCCUGGUUUAUUUCCUACAUUUUGAGAUUAUCCAGGUCACUCUUCUGAUGUCACAUGUAGUUGUCAAACUUCUUGUGACUAUGUAUAGAAGAACCACCAACAGAGAGAAGCCAAACUGGAGCAGAUGCACUGUGGCUACCUUUGUUGGCUGGACUUUCAUCUCCACCUGGGUCAUUAGAGUUGGAAAUACUGCACUAAUUUAAUGGUGUUUCUAGAGGGCGCUCUGCAUCUAGUUCAUUAGGAAAUCCUUGUUGACUUUCAUUGUGACUUUAAUCUUGAAUUUUAACUUUGGAAAUUGAGAUGUUGAAGAAUGUAGGGAAGAUAGAUGGAGGGGCAGAAGGUGUGGUUUACAUGUAAAUAAAAAUUA